rnacentral:rRNA from 1 species
CCUACGGGAGGCAGCAGUGAGGAAUAUUGGUCAAUGGACGGAAGUCUGAACCGGCCAAGCCGCGUGCAGGAUGACGGCGCUAUGAGUUGUAAAAUGCUUUUGUAUUAGGGUAAACACACCUACGUGUAGGGGCGUGAAAGUAUAAUACGAAUAAGGAUCGGCUAACUCCGAGCCAGCAGCCGCGGUAAUAAGGAAGGACGGGGGGUUAGCCGGAUUUAUUGGGUUAAAAGGGAGCGAAGGCGGCAUGUGAAGGGUGCUGUGAAAUGUCCGGGCGCAACCCGGGCCUUGCAGCGCGAACUGGCGUGCUUGAGGCCGCGGAAAGCAGCCGGAAUUCGUCGUGUAGCGGUGAAAUGCUUAGAUAUGACGAAGAACCCCGAUUGCGAAGGCAGCUUGCUGCAGCGGAACUGACGCUGAUGCUCGAAAGCGCGGGUAUCGAACAGGAUUAGAUACCCUUGUAGUC